rnacentral:rRNA from 1 species
GAUGAACGCUGGCGGCGUGCCUAACACAUGCAAGUCGAGCGAAGCGCCUUACUUGAUUUCUUCGGGAUGAAAGUAUUGUGACUGAGCGGCGGACGGGUGAGUAACGCGUGAGGAACCUGCCUUUCAGAGGGGGACAACAGUUGGAAACGACUGCUAAUACCGCAUGAUGCAUGAUCAGGGCAUCCUGGACAUGCCAAAGAUUUAUCGCUGAAAGAUGGCCUCGCGUCUGAUUAGCUGGUUGGUGAGGUAACGGCCCACCAAGGCAAUGAUGCGUAGCCGGCCUGAGAGGGCGAACGGCCACAUUGGGACUGAGACACGGCCCAA